rnacentral:rRNA from 1 species
UACGUAGGCAGCGAGCGUUGUUCGGAGUUACUGGGCGUAAAGGGUGUGUAGGCGGUCGGGUAAGUCUGAUGUGAAAUCUCACAGCUUAACUGUGAAACUGCAUUGGAUACUAUCCGGCUCGAGGAAUGGAGGGGAGACUGGAAUACUUGGUGUAGCAGUGAAAUGCGUAGAUAUCAAGUGGAACACCAGUGGCGAAGGCGAGUCUCUGGACAUUUCCUGACGCUGAGGCACGAAAGCCAGGGGAGCAAACGGG